UAUUUUCCACUCAAUAUUUUCUUUCCUCCCAACGAAGGAUCCCAAACACAGUACAAUAGUUUGUGUACCCUUUAUAUUUAUACCGUCUCUUUCUCACGCGUCCUCGCCUCACUCCCUUCACAAGAACGAAGAAUCUCUCUCUCGUAGUUCUUUGGAAUCCAAUCAGAACACGAGAAUGGGAGAAGAGAAGAAGCCUCAACCGGCUGGUGUAUGGCCCACCGUUAAGCCUUUCGUUAAUGGUGGUGCCUCAGGCAUGCUUGCCACCUGUGUUAUUCAACCUAUCGAUAUGAUUAAGGUCAGGAUUCAAUUGGGUCAGGGUUCAGCGGCUCAGGUGACAAAGACCAUGCUAAAGGAGGAGGGUUUUGGUGCCUUUUACAAGGGGUUAUCUGCUGGACUACUCAGGCAAGCUACGUAUACAACUGCCCGACUUGGAUCAUUCAAGAUUUUGACCAAUAAAGCAAUUGAAGCCAAUGAUGGGAAGCCCCUUCCUCUAUAUCAGAAGGCCUUGUGUGGGCUAACUGCUGGUGCUAUUGGAGCAUCCGUUGGCAGUCCAGCAGAUUUGGCACUUAUCCGCAUGCAGGCUGAUGCCACUUUGCCUGCUGCUCAGCGCCGAAAUUACACAAAUGCCUUCCAUGCACUUUAUCGUAUUGUUGCAGAUGAAGGAGUUUUGGCACUCUGGAAAGGUGCAGGCCCUACAGUUGUGAGAGCAAUGGCAUUGAACAUGGGGAUGCUUGCUUCUUAUGAUCAAAGUGUUGAGUUUUUCAGGGAUUCCCUUGGUUCUGGCGAAGCUGCUACAGUGCUAGUUAGUAGGGGUCAUUGUUGCCAGCACGGAAUAAAGAGGUUUAAGUUGAUUAUUAUCUUCUUCAAGUUUAAAGCAAAAUGCGAAAAGGUGCAAGUACUGUUUCAGGUUUCUUUGCUUCAGCCUGCAGUCUUCCAUUUGAUUAUGUUAAAACUCAAAUUCAGAAAAUGCAACCUGAUGCCGAGGGAAAGUAUCCAUACACCGGUUCUUUAGACUGUGCCAUGAAAACUCUUAAGUCUGGAGGACCAUUCAAAUUCUACACUGGCUUCCCUGUCUAUUGUGUUAGAAUUGCUCCCCAUGUCAUGAUGACAUGGAUAUUCCUGAACCAGAUCCAAAAGCUGGAGAAAUCCGUGGGGUUGUAGUCAUCAGCAGACAAGGGGAUUUUCGGUUGAGUAAAGCUAAUAAAUAAGGAUACAUUGCCUGUGUUUUAGUGGUUGUUUACAACCCUUUCAAGUCCAACAAAUUUAUUUCAAAAUUUUUACAGUGGAAUCGAGGUAGGAUGUCUAAAAUUUUAUUGAACUUGUUAGUUUUUAGGGCAGUGACAGAUUUUGGACUUUGUUUUUUAGUUCAACAAAGAGUUGUUUCUCAUGGAUAAGUAUUUUUGAAGAGAAUAUUGAACGCGAAAUAAGUUUUUAAACUUUAUCAUAAAACAGGAACUUUACAUUAA